UCACUUACCUGAAUGGGGUCAAUGGUGAUCAAGAAGGCCCAUGGCCUAGGCAAGUGACCUUCAUUGGGUUCUAGUUUAAGGUCUACUCAAGUGGUGGAGCCUACAUUAUAAUUUGUUCCAGUAGGGUUUGCGUUCGCGCGCAACUCGC
rnacentral:snRNA from 2 species